AGGAUAAACGCUGGCGGCGUGCAUGAGACAUGCAAGUCGAACGGACGAUCGGGGCUUGCUCCGAUCGUUAGUGGCGGACGGCUGAGUAACGCGUAGGUGACCUGCCCCGAAGUGGGGAAUAACUGCCCGAAAGGGUGGCUAAUACCGCAUGUGGUGGUGUGUUCAUUUCACACCAGUAAAGCCGCAAGGCGCUUCGGGAGGGCCUGCGUCCGAUUAGCUCGUUGGUGGGGUACGGCU
rnacentral:rRNA from 1 species